rnacentral:misc_RNA from 1 species
AACGCACAUUGCGCCCCUUGGUAUUCCGAGGGGCAUGCCUGUUCGAGCGUCAUUACAACCCUCAAGCAUUGCUUGGUAUUGGGCUCCGCUGCUCACGUAGCGGGCCUUAAAAUCAGUGGCGGUGCCGUCGGGCCCUGAGCGUAGUACAUCUCCUCGCUACAGGGACCCGGUGGACGCUGGCCAUCAACCCCUCACUUUCUAAGUUUGACCUCGGAUCAGGUAGGGAUACCCGCUGAACUUAA